rnacentral:rRNA from 2 species
GCGAACGCUGGCGGCAGGCUUAACACAUGCAAGUCGAGCGGGCGUAGCAAUACGUCAGCGGCAGACGGGUGAGUAACGCGUGGGAACGUACCUUUUGGUUCGGAACAACACAGGGAAACUUGUGCUAAUACCGGAUAAGCCCUUACGGGGAAAGAUUUAUCGCCGAAAGAUCGGCCCGCGUCUGAUUAGCUAGUUGGUGAGGUAACGGCUCACCAAGGCGACGAUCAGUAGCUG